CCUUCGAUAGCUCAGUUGGUAGAGCGGUGGACUGUAGUUAUUUGUGUAUAUAAGUGGAUAUCCAUAGGUCGCUGGUUCAAAUCCGGCUCGAAGGA
rnacentral:tRNA from 1 species